UACAGAGGUCUCGAGCGUUAGGCGGAAUCACUGGGCUUAAAGCGUGUGUAGGUGGAUCGUUAAGUACCUUGUGAAAUCCCACGGCUUAACCGUGGAACUGCUUGGUAUACUGGCGGUCUUGAGCCAGCUAGGGGCUACCGGAACAAAUGGUGGAGCGGUGAAAUGCGUAGAUAUGACACAGAACACCGAUUGCGAAGGCAGCUCACUGGGCAAUGAUUGACGCUGGAGGCACGAAAGCGUGGGGAUCAAACAGG
rnacentral:rRNA from 1 species